rnacentral:piRNA from 1 species
UCUCAUGGUGUGAAUCGCUUUUCAAUC